AAUUUUAUAGGUGAUGAAGUUCGCCUUUAAACAUCUCUUUAGAGAUUGAUGACUUCUACUACAAU
rnacentral:ncRNA from 2 species